UCCUCGAUGGUCUAACGGUCAUGAUUUCCGCUUGUCACUCUCAAGGAGAACGAGCGCGGGAGACCAGGGUUCGACUCCCUGUCGGGGAG
rfam:Aspergillus lentulus DNA, contig: Alt04, strain: IFM 54703.